CCUACGGGUGGCUGCAGUGGGGAAUAUUGCACAAUGGGGGAAACCCUGAUGCAGCGACGCCGCGUGAAGGAAGAAGUAUCUCGGUAUGUAAACUUCUAUCAGCAGGGAAGAAAAUGACGGUACCUGACUAAGAAGCCCCGGCUAACUACGUGCCAGCAGCCGCGGUAAUACGUAGGGGGCAAGCGUUAUCCGGAUUUACUGGGUGUAAAGGGAGCGUAGACGGAUGGACAAGUCUGAUGUGAAAGGCUGGGGCUCAACCCCGGGACUGCAUUGGAAACUGCCCGUCUUGAGUGCCGGAGAGGUAAGCGGAAUUCCUAGUGUAGCGGUGAAAUGCGUAGAUAUUAGGAGGAACACCAGUGGCGAAGGCGGCUUACUGGACGGUAACUGACGUUGAGGCUCGAAAGCGUGGGGAGCAAACAGGAUUAGAUACCCCAGUAGUC
rnacentral:rRNA from 1 species